UACGGGGGGAGCAAGCGUUGUUCGGAUUUACUGGGCGUAAAGGGCGCGUAGGCGGCCACUGCAAGUCAGUUGUGAAAUCUCCGGGCUUAACCCGGAAAGGUCAACUGAUACUGCAGGGCUAGAGUGCAGAAGGGGCAACUGGAAUUCUCGGUGUAGCGGUGAAAUGCGUAGACAUCGAGAGGAACACCUGCGGCGAAGGCGGGUUGCUGGGCUGACACUGACGCUGAGGCGCGAAAGCCAGGGGAGCGAACGGG
rnacentral:rRNA from 1 species